GGGGUUGUGGCUCAGUGGUAAAGUGCUUGCCUAGCAUGCAUGAGGCACUGGGUUCAAUCCUCAGCACCACA
rnacentral:tRNA from 1 species